rnacentral:misc_RNA from 1 species
AAAAUCCACAAGACAAGCCCAAAACAAUAAAAACCAAAAAAAAAAAGGCCCCAAAAGGUUGCCCCAAACAAAUACAAUGGAAAGGGCCAGAGGCCCCAAUAAAGAAAACUCUUCUAGAAUUCAACCUGUGAGAGGAUCUAGAUGAUUGAGAUUGGCAAUGCCGCCGUCGCAGCAUUGAAAACCCGUGCAGAUCCCAUCUCGGGGAAGACGAAGGACAAUGGAGGAAGCACAAGGGAAAACCAACACGACCAGAGCCCACAGAUCAAGAAAUUCUCACUAUAUAGCACCUCCAAGAUGUCAAGCAAGCCAAAAAGGACCCGCGCAACAAGAAGAAACUCAAAGCCAUAGUGGUGAAAUGGAUCUG